CACUUCUCCACCAUAGUCAGAGCUCAUUAUGUAGGCACAGAUACAUUGAUGAUAAUAUGGUGGCUUUGUAAUAGGUAAUUUUAAUUUACAUCCUUCCUUACAGCAUGGGAGACUUGACUGAAUUCCUGAAACAAAGAGAAGUCUCUGAGGAAAUUAUACAGACCUUGGAGAAUGAGAAGAUUGAUGCCAGUGUCAUAAGUCUAAUGACAGAUGAGGAGCUGAAGACUUAUUUGCCAUCAUAUGGUGAUCGUCUAGCAGUAUUUGGAUUUUGCAGACGGAGGGGCAGCAGCCGCAAGUCAGCGCUUUUUGAACGGCUGAAAUCCAAAGCGUCCAAAAGAAAAUUAUCUGAAGAGGAUGGCAGUAGCACACGGCAAGAAGAACAUUCCCAAACAACCCAUAAAAGAAAUGCUCUGAAGAGAAAUAGAAAAAUAGAAAUAGGAUGGAUGCAUUAUGAUGAAGACACUGAGGUUUUCAAGCAGGUUAGAGCUAGACGAGGAGGAGGAACAAGAAAAAUAGACAUUUGCAAGGAUGCCAAGAAAAGGGACAUAUUACAGGUUGCAACAGGCCUGUUCUUUCCAGAUGGAGGAAACAUUCAGGGGCCCUUAACAGAUUUUGACUGUGAUCUGAAGGAUUAUCAAGAGAUGAUAGUCGAUGAUGCAUUGACAGUAGGAGAACUUUAUCAUGUCACAAAACUAAAUAUCCGCAGGUUCUACCUCACCACAAAGAAAAAACAAAAUGACAGCCUUCAGAGUUCCAGCCCGAGUUUGCAUCCAUCUUCAGAAAUUGAAGACAGUCCUCAAAACCAAACCUCUUCUUUUACUGUCACUACAGUCCAAACAUCUGCUCCAUUUGAAACAGUCAGCCAUGAUGUGACAUACAUUGAAGACACUCCAAACGAUAACCUUCCACAAUCUUCCACGCAGUCUCUAAGUGCUAACACUUCUCACAGCAGUGACAUUAUUUUUGUUGGCCCCUUUUCUGACAGUGAGCCAAUAAAUUUGGAUGACACCCUGAUUUUUUCUCCACACCCUGGUCCAUCCAGUGAGAGAGUGAGGAGAGUAGUGGUGGUCCACAGAGGGCAGGUAAUGUCAGAGCUCAUUUCACAUUUUAGUGAUAAGGACCUUGAAGAUGUCGACAUCAAAAUCCAGAUCGUACUGCCUGAUGGAACACCUGAAAUGGCCCAUGACGAUGGGGGAGUUGUGAGAGAUUGUCUUUCAGAAUUCUGGAAAGAAUUCUAUGACCAGUGCACCACUGGAAAUGUUUACAAAGUGCCCUUCUUAAGGCAUGAUUUUGGGCAACAGGAGUGGGAGAGUGUGGGCAGAAUCAUUGCAUUUGGAUGGGUUAGAGAGAAAUAUCUGCCUGUGAAAAUUGCACCUGCCAUUCUAGAACAAGCUGCCUUUGAUAAGAUAAGAUAAGAUAAUUCUUUAUUGUCAUUGCACAGUCAUACAUAGUACAGUAGUACAAUGAAAUUGGAAAAACUGUCCUACGUCGGUACUACAUAUAACACAACACGACACGAUAUGACACAUCACAACGCAACACAAACAACACAACACAGUAUAUUAACUUAGAAAUAAAAAAGAAGAAUAAGUGUUAUGUGUAUUGCACCUGUUAUUAUUGCACAUUAAUUAUUAUUGCACCUUGUUAUAAAUAUAAAUAUUACUAUUGUUAUUGUUUUAAACAUUGUUACCUCCCCCUAAAAAAAAGUCCAGGCAGGUAGCCAAUCAGGUCAGCUAUUUGCAUUGAUUAGGGCUAUUGCCCUGUUGUAAAAGCUGUCCUUGAGUCUGUUUGUUCGGGACCUCAGCAGCCUGAACCUCCUGCCAGACGGCAGCAGCUUAAACACCCGGUGUCCUGGGUGUGUACGGUCUCGUAGGAUGCUGCGUGCCCUCUUGAGACAUGCCCUCUUGGAUAUGUAAAGAGUGAUAUUGUGGAGGAUUUCCUUAAGUUCAUGCCUGAAUCUGAGCGUACAGUGUUAGAGGCGUGGUGAUCAGACUUUAGCAUCGUGGACCAAGAAGAACUUAUAGACAUACUUGAUAACCACAGCUGCAGAAAGAUACCAACAGCCUACAAUGCCACUGAAGUCCUAUUGGAGCUUGCACACAAAACACUUGUCCAAGAGCCUGCGUAUGUUAUUGAACAGUGGGCAAGAACACUCAGCACUGCAUGGGAAAGCAUUUG
ensembl:lncRNA